rnacentral:misc_RNA from 1 species
CGAUUGUGCGAGUACGAGAAACGUGCCAAGGUGGAGCCCAAAGGUAAAGACGCUUCUUCCGACUCUUUCUCCACGCGUGCAGGCAGGCCCGUUUUUUCCCGCGCAACUGUGCGCUUUUUUUGUAUACUUUCGAUUUUUCUUUAUUUGCGUGUUGCGUGUGGCCGGCACGCCCACUCUUGCGUGCCACUGCGGCCGCUCCCUUUUCUUUCGCAUUCGUGUCCCUGUGUAUGUGUGGGACUCACAGCAUCUUGGGGCCUCUCGUGAGACUGCUAAAUACGUGCACCCUAGCGCCACGAACCCGCGAAGCGUACGUUGCACGCCGCACAAGGCUACCCAAAUCUUGUUAGCUCUGCUGAGAUGCCGCGCAUCAAGAAGCCGCGUAACAAGGGUGUCACCUAUAAGCUGGUGCCCCGCUCGUAUGGCGAUGCUGAUGGCGAGGACCAGGGCCCUUUGUGGGUGAGCGAGGCGGAGCUCUUUCGCCGACACCAGAGCGCCGUUCCCGCUGAAGAUGAAGACGCGGCGCGACGCCAGUUUAACAUGUACGCCGUCGCCGCGAACGCCGAGUUCAACGACGAGCGUCGCGGUCGCCGUGCCGAGGAAGGUGAGGACGACGCGUGUGGCGUGUACGACGAUGGAGAGGCGGAUGCAGAGGAGCAAUCGCAUGAGGAGGAGUAUUAUGACGAACACGGCGAGGAGGACGGUGAGUGGGUCGACGGUGACUGGAGGGACGAGGAGAAGCCAGAGGCCCCACACCUGCGAGUGGCAAUGCAGAAGGCUGCGCUGCCGCCCACUUCUGCUGCUGACCCAGCGUUGGCGUCUAGCUGCCCACCGGCGGCUGCCGCUUGCCCGCGCGACGAGGAUGGCCAUGAGAGCGAGGUGGCUAGUGAGGCCGACGAAGAGCAAGAGGAGGAGAAACUCUUUGAUGACGAGGUGGAAGGCGAGGUGACGGACGACUUCCUGCGCCAGCUUGUCUUUGGCAGCGGUGGCGAUGGCGAGGGCGACGAGGACGGCGACGACGGCGACGACUGGGACGGACUCGACCAGGAAGAUAGCGAGAUGUGGCGGUUGCUGACGGACGACGAGAAGGCGGCCGUCAAGGCUUCACGCCGACGCAGCACGGCACGGCGACGUCGUGUUGUCGCCGCAGUGGUUGGCGAGGAGGGAGGACUGAGCCGCACUCACGCGGCCGACGGGACGGAGUAUCCAACGCACGACACCACCCAGCGGGCGGUGGAUCGGCAGUUCACGGAGAUGAUGCGCGAGUUCGAUGCCGAUGCGCGACUCAACGACGCCUACACCGAUGAUCCUCGUACGCACGGCGCGCUGCCGAUGGAUAAGUACCUCACUGCCUUGGAGGAGUUCGUGGCAAGCAGGGCCGGCAUAGACGUCGAGACUGCAGAGCCGCACAAAAACAAAGGCCUCAUUCAGCAGCUCAAGUACCUCUCAUACCACGCCGGCGCCUUCGACUCUGACGCGCGUGGUGUUUACAUGACGACGAUACUGCCAGAAAAGCAGCAGCGCUUCGUGGAGGAAUUUCAGAAAGGCACUGAAGAGAUCCGCCGUGCCGCGCGCGUGCGUUUGGCAGCACGCAACGCUGGUGCCACUGCCGCUGCUAAUGCUGCUGCGGCGGCAUCGCCGUCGGAGGGAGACGGCACGACUGGGGAGGAGGAGGAGGAGCUGAUUGUCAUGGAGGUGAAAUCAAAGGCGGAUCGACUGGACUGCGAGACGGCCAUCAGCGCGCACUCGACGUACUACAAUCAGCCAAACGUGAUUCAAGCACCGCGCCGCUCUGCGCAGGCGCGCAGGGUGAAGAAGGCGCCAGUAUCGCGUCGCGGCGGCGAGCUAAUAGACACAGAGGCGGAGAGCAACAAUAGUCACCGUAACGGCGACACCGACACCUCCGCCACAACAUUGGUGAGGGGGGACAUGAUCAGCGCCGGGGCUGCCCUUAGCAGCAGCGGCAGCGGCAACACUGCUACUAGUAGAAUCAGCAGCUCCGCCAAGAAGGGUGCCAAGACGGUGCAGGUGUGUGAGCCGACCUGCGACUCUGACAGCGAGGGCACUGCGCCGGUAGACAGAGGGCACCGAGCCGUCGAUGUGGUGCUCACGGUCCGUCGCAAGGACGAAACCAAAGAGGAGAAAAUGAUGCGCCGGCAGGCUGUGAAGGCUGCCCAGCGCGAGCGUCGGCAGGCAAAGAGCGCCCUCAAGCACACUUACAAGGAGGUGGAGUCGGAAGAGCUGAGGCGGUCUGCUACCUCGCAGGCGGCGCGUCGCACCGUCCACUUUAUGUAAGAAGGGGGGAGAUUGAGGGGGAGGUGAGGAGAAAUGGAUGUCGGAGGACUCGCCGCAACGCCCAGGCAGCACUUGGCGCCCUGCGCGUGUGGAUGUGUGAGCACGCGUGUAGGGUUUGCAGUUUGACGGGUAAUGCGUCGAUAGGCGCGUCUCUUUUCCUUUUUUUUUGUGGGUGAUGCCAGCUAAAAAAAUGCGAGCCCUUCCACCAAUUUCCCUCCGGCCCCCCCCCCCCACCCCCAACAACAAGAAAACGAAAAUAACACAGAACUAAUUCGACGCGGUAAACCAGUAAAAGGAGAGAGAACAUGAAGCGAGGUCGUUGGUGCGCUUCAUCCUUCUCUACUAAGCACUACUCUUCAUACUGCCUCUCCCUUGCUCUAACACAUCUCUCACGAUUGUUCGUGCGCACGGUACAGUCCUCAG